GGGCGACAAGAGGGGUACCUGUAAUCACUGAUGUAAACACGGCUCUGAUAAGAACUAUUCUUAGUUAUAAAUAAAUAGCAUGAAAUAUAUCAAAUCAUUCUUAAUAACAAAAUAAAUAAUGAAAAGAAGAAGUCGGUUUUUUUUAUGAAACAUAUUAGACAUCACAUGGGAUAACAGUAUCCUGAAAUUUUAAGGUUGUGCAUCUAUCAAAAAAAAAUAUAAUUAAACCUAUUUAAACCGGAAUCAACUACGUUGAUUUAAAUCUCUUAUAUAAGGUUAGCGUUUGAGAUAAAUAAUUCAAAGCUAUUUUGUGUUCCCAGUGCCCA
rnacentral:lncRNA from 1 species